AUUAGUUUUUUAAUCCUGAAUUUUUUUUUUUCAGGAUUAUGGUGAAUGAGAAGAAGAAGGCCUUCAUUACCAUGCUAAGAGCAAAAUAAAUCUACAUGAGUGAAGAAUCAUUUGGUGAAUAGGUUGUAGAUGCAAGGAAGCCCUGAUUCACUGAAUUUCAGCCCACCAGGCUCCUCUGUCCAUGGAUUCUCCAGGCAAGAAUACUGGAGUGGGUUGCCAUGCCUUUCUCCAGGGAAUCUUCCUGACCCAGGGAUCGAACCCAUGUCUCUCGAGUCGUCUGCAUUGGCAGAAAUAGAAAUGCAGCUGAAUGUUCAGAUGGAUUCUUAAGGAAUUCCAACU